rnacentral:rRNA from 1 species
UACGGAGGGGGGCGAGCGUUAUUCGGAAUCAUUGGGCGUAAAGCGCGCGCAGGCGGCCUCCUAAGUCCGAUGUGAAAGCCCACGGCUCAACCGUGGAAGCGCACCCAAAACUGCUUCGCUCGAGUCUCGGAGAGGAAGGUGGAAUGCUUGGUGUAGAGGUGAAAUUCGUAGAUAUCAAGCAGAACACCUGCGGCGAAGGCGGCCUUCUGGACGAUGACUGACGCUGAGACACGAAAGCGUGGGGAGCAAACAGG